rnacentral:lncRNA from 1 species
GAAAUCUUGAGAACCACUGACUUAUGUGGUCAGAAGUGAUCGACUCCCUGGGCUGGGAAGCUCCAAUUUUCUCCUCCAGAUUUCCUGUGUCGCCCUCUCCUCCCUGUCCUCUGCCCCAUUAGGGAGGAUGCAUGGAUUCCUUCAGCAAGCUCUUUGUCCUUCGGUUUCCAGUUCCUUGAGGAAUUUGUUCAUCGUCUACUGGGCCUGUUAUGUCAUUUUCAGUUUUGCCUCUGCUCUCUGCCUGGAAUGUUCCAUAAUUGCUUUUCAGGUUCAGCAUUCCUGGUGGAAGCAAUCUGGGCCUGGUUAAAGGAAGUGGCUGUUCCAAAAGUAGAAGGGCAGACAAAGCCAAAUCUGGGUGAGAGAUGAAGAAGGAACUCCAGAGCAAGCCACAAAUGACUUUAGCUUCAAAUAGAAUCAAAAGCCAAUUAAAGAAUCAUGCUACAUUUAUAAAGUAUAUAGGUUCCAUGAUUCAGUUGAUUGUGUAUUUUUCUCAUUCCAUAGUGUAGAUUCAGACAUUUACAAUUCUUUUACUGUGUUUAUAAAAUCUCAGAAGUUUUUUUCUAAUCCCAAGUAAUAUUAUUGUUUAGUGUUGCUACCUUCAACAGUUCUCUUAGGUAGAUCUAGACAAUUUGCUGCAGCUUCUAUAUCAACACUUGCUGCUUCACCUUGCACUUUUAUGUUAUAGAGAUGGGUUCUUUCCUUUAACCUCAUGAACAAAACUCUGCUACCUUCAAACUUUUCUUUUGCAGCUUCCUGAUUGAAGCCUUCACAAAUUAAAGAGAGUUAGAGCUUUGCUCUAGAUUAGGCUUGGGCUUAAGGAAAUACCGGGGUUGGUUUAAUCCUCUAUGUACUAAAACUUUCUCCAUAUCAGCAAUGAGUCUGUCUUGCUUUUUUCUGAGUCACGUGUCCACUGGAGUAGCAUUUUUAAUCUCCUUCAAACAUUUUUCCUUUGCUUUCACAACUUGGCUGUUUGGCACAAAAGAUCUAGCUUUCAACCUAACUUGGCUUCAACAUGACUUUCUCACUAAACUUAAUCAUUUCUAGUUGUUGAUUUGUGACCCUUCCUUUCAUUUGAACACUGAGAGGCCAUUGUAACAUUAUUAUUUAGCUUAAUAUCAAUACUGUUGUGUAUCAGGGAAUAGGGAGGCUGGAGAAGAGGGAGAGAGACAGGGGAAUGGCUGAUCAGUGGAGCUGUCAGAACACAUACAACAUAUAUCAAUUAAAUUCUCCAUCAUAUAUGGGCACAGUUUGUGGCACCCCAAAACAUGAUAGUAACAUCCAAGAUCAUUGAUCACAGACCACCAUAAAACAUAUUAUAAUAAUGAAAACAUUUGAAAUAUUGAUAGGAUUACAGAAAUGUGACACAAAGACACAACAUGAGCACAUGCUAUUGGAAAAAUAAGGCUGAUAGACUUGCUUGAUUCAGGGUUGCCACAAACCCUCAAUUUGUAA